rnacentral:misc_RNA from 1 species
GAUGAAGAACGUAGUGAAAUGCGAUAAGUAGUGUGAAUUGCAGAAUUCAGUGAAUCAUCGAAUCUUUGAACGCACAUUGCGCCCUUUGGUAUUCCUUAGGGCAUGCCUGUUCGAGCGUCAUUUAAACCUUCAAGCUCAGCUUGGUGUUGGGUGACUGUCCGCCGCCUCCGGGCGCGUGGACUCGCCUCAAAAUUAUUGGCGGCCGGUACAUUGGCUUCGAGCGCAGCAGAAACGCGAACUCGGGCCCGUCGUAUUGGCUCCCAGAAGCUAUCUUCACAAUUUUGACCUCGGAUCAGGUAGGGAUACCCGCUGAACUUAAGCAUAUCAAUAAGCGGAGGA